rnacentral:rRNA from 1 species
GAUGAACGCUAGCGGGAGGCCUAACACAUGCAAGCCGAGCGGUAUUUGUCUUUCGGGACAGAGAGAGCGGCGUACGGGUGCGGAACACGUGUGCAACCUGCCUUUAUCAGGGGGAUAGCCUUUCGAAAGGAAGAUUAAUACCCCAUAAUAUAUUGAAUGGCAUCAUUUGAUAUUGAAAACUCCGGUGGAUAGAGAUGGGCACGCGCAAGAUUAGAUAGUUGGUAGGGUAACGGCCUACCAAGUCAGUGAUCUUUAGGGGGCCUGAGAGGGUGAUCCCCCACACUGGUACUGAGACACGGACCAGACUCCUACGGGAGGCAGCAGUGAGGAAUAUUGGACAAUGGGUGAGAGCCUGAUCCAGCCAUCCCGCGUGAAGGACGACGGCCCUAUGGGUUGUAAACUUCUUUUGUAUAGGGAUAAACCUAGAUACGUGUAUCUAGCUGAAGGUACUAUACGAAUAAGCACCGGCUAACUCCGUGCCAGCCGCCGCGGUAA